rnacentral:tRNA from 1 species
GGCCCUUUAGCUCAGUUGGUUAGAACGCGCGACUCACAAUCGCUAGGUCGCUGGUUCAAGUCCAGCAAGGGUCACCA